rnacentral:rRNA from 1 species
UACGAAGGGGGCUAGCGUUGCUCGGAAUCACUGGGCGUAAAGGGCGCGUAGGCGGCUGUUCAAGUCGGGGGUGAAAGCCUGUGGCUCAACCACAGAAUGGCCUUCGAUACUGGACGGCUCGAGACCGGAAGAGGUCAGUGGAACUGCGAGUGUAGAGGUGAAAUUCGUAGAUAUUCGCAAGAACACCAGUGGCGAAGGCGGCUGACUGGUCCGGUUCUGACGCUGAGGCGCGAAAGCGUGGGGAGCGAACGGG